UACGAAGGGGGCUAGCGUUGCUCGGAAUGACUGGGCGUAAAGGGCGCGUAGGCGGCUCAUACAGUCAGAUGUGAAAUUCCUGGGCUUAACCUGGGGGCUGCAUUUGAUACGUGUGGGCUUGAGUGGGGAAGAGGGUCGUGGAAUUCCCAGUGUAGAGGUGAAAUUCGUAGAUAUUGGGAAGAACACCGGUGGCAAAGGCGGCGACCUGGUCCUUGACUGACGCUGAGGCGCGAAAGCAUGGGGAGCAAACAGG
rnacentral:rRNA from 1 species